GCGGGUGUAGUUCAGUGGUAGAACCCCAGCCUUCCAAGCUGGUUGUGUGGGUCCGAUUCCCAUCACCCGCUCCA
rnacentral:tRNA from 1 species